AUUGAACGCUGGCGGCAUGCCUUACACAUGCAAGUCGAACGGCAGCACGGACUUCGGUCUGGUGGCGAGUGGCGAACGGGUGAGUAAUGCAUCGGAACGUGCCAUUGAGUGGGGGAUAACGCACCGAAAGGUGUGCUAAUACCGCAUAAUCUCUACGGAGAAAAGCAGGGGAUCGCAAGACCUUGCGCUUUUGGAGCGGCCGAUGUCUGAUUAGCUAGUUGGUGAGGUAAAGGCUUACCAAGGCGUCGAUCAGUAGCUGGUCUGAGAGGACGACCAGCCACACUGGGGACUGAGACACGGCCCAGACUCCUACGGGAGGCAG
rnacentral:rRNA from 1 species